rnacentral:rRNA from 1 species
AUAUCAAUAAGCGGAGGAAAAGAACCAACAGGGAUUGCCCUAGUAACGGCGAGUGAAGCGGCAACAGCUCAAAUUUGAAAUCUGGCCCCCGGGUCCGAGUUGUAAUUUGUAGAGGAUGCUUUUGGUGCGGUACCUUCCGAGUUCCCUGGAACGGGACGCCAUAGAGGGUGAGAGCCCCGUCUGGUUGGACGCCAAUCCUUUGUAAAGCUCCUUCAACGAGUCGAGUAGUUUGGGAAUGCUGCUCUAAAUGGGAGGUAUAUGUCUUCUAAAGCUAAAUAUUGGCCAGAGACCGAUAGCGCACAAGUAGAGUGAUCGAAAGAUGAAAAGCACUUUGAAAAGAGAGUUAAAAAGUACGUGAAAUUGUUGAAAGGGAAGCGCUCAUGACCAGACUUGGGCUUGGUUGAUCAUCCAGGGUUCUCCCUGGUGCACUCUUCCGGCCCAGGCCAGCAUCAGUUCGCUGUGGGGGAUAAAGGCUUCGGGAAUGUGGCUCCCUCGGGAGUGUUAUAGCCCGUUGUGUAAUACCCUGUGGUGGACUGAGGUUCGCGCAUUCGCAAGGAUGCUGGCGUAAUGGUCAUCAGCGACCCGUCUUGAAACACGGACCAAGGAGUCGUCUUCGUAUGCGAGUGUUCGGGUGUCAAACCCCUACGCGUAAUGAAAGUGAACGCAGGUGAGAGCUUCGGCGCAUCAUCGACCGAUCCUGAUGUUCUCGGAUGGAUUUGAGUAAGAGCAUACGGGGCCGGACCCGAAAGAAGGUGAACUAUGCCUGUAUAGGGUGAAGCCAGAGGAAACUCUGGUGGAGGCUCGCAGCGGUUCUGACGUGCAAAUCGAUCGUCAAAUAUGGGCAUGGGGGCGAAAGACUAAUCGAACCUUCUAGUAGCUGGUUUCCGC